CUUCACCGCCGCACAGGCGGCUUAUAAA
rnacentral:other from 1 species